rnacentral:rRNA from 1 species
GAGGGGGGCUACCAUGCAGUCGAGCGAACCUUCGGGUUAGCGGCGGACGGGUGAGUAACGCGUGGGAACGUACCCUCUUCUGCGGGAUAGCCACUGGAAACGGUGAGUAAUACCGCAUACGCCCUUCGGGGGAAAGAUUUAUCGGAGGAGGAUCGGCCCGCGUUGGAUUAGGUAGUUGGUGGGGUAAUGGCCUACCAAGCCUACGAUCCAUAGCUGGUUUUAGAGGAUGAUCAGCCACACUGGGACUGAGACACGGCCCAGACUCCUACGGGAGGCAGCAGUGGGGAAUCUUAGACAAUGGGCGCAAGCCUGAUCUAGCCAUGCCGCGUGAGUGACGAAGGCCUUAGGGUCGUAAAGCUCUUUCGCCAGAGAUGAUAAUGACAGUAUCUGGUAAAGAAACCCCGGCUAACUCCGUGCCAGCAGCCGCGGUAAUACGGAGGGGGUUAGCGUUGUUCGGAAUUACUGGGCGUAAAGCGCACGUAGGCGGAUUGGAAAGUUGGGGGUGAAAUCCCAGGGCUCAACCCUGGAACUGCCUCCAAAACUCCCAGUCUGGAGUUCGAGAGAGGUGAGUGGAAUUCCGAGUGUAGAGGUGAAAUUCGUAGAUAUUCGGAGGAACACCAGUGGCGAAGGCGGCUCACUGGCUCGAUACUGACGCUGAGG